rnacentral:lncRNA from 1 species
UUUUCAAUAUUUUUCUCCAUUCCUUGUAAUUUUUGUAAUAUGUCUUGUAAUAGAUUUUGUACUAUUUCCCCUUGUUCAGGUUGUACCUGUCAAUCAUUAAAAAAUUCUUCUUUAUAAACUCAUAGCUAUCCCUGCAUCAUAUGUUUAGAUAAAAAAUCUGCAAUAAAAUUGUCUUUAGUACUGAUUAGUUCAAUAUCAAAAUUGAAUA